ensembl:rRNA 5S_rRNA 5S ribosomal RNA
GUCUACAGCCAUACCACCCCGAAUACACCCAAACUUUUCUGAUCACCAAAGCUAAUCAGGGUCAGGCCUAGAUAGGAUGGGAGGCUACCUGGAAACACUGGGUGUUGUAGGAU